AUUUUUGUAAGGGUAUAAUCGUCUUUGCAGCAUCUGUCUUCAACCUCUUUCUCACACACUCAGAGUCUCUGACCUUUCUCUCUUGACCAUAUUCGGCUGCAAUGCCCAUCUCUGGUUUCUGGAGAGCAAAGGUAGGAAUUCUUUCCGCUUGUAACAGUUUCUUCUUUAUGAAUGAAAUGCCUUCGUUGGAUUAAAAGAAUAAUUCCUAUUUCUGGUACUUGGGCCCAACUUCACAUCUGAGUUAGGGCUUUCUACUCAAGUUUUGUCUUUGUAAUCCACCUCCCAUUGCGUGUAGAGGAACGGAGAGCUCUUGUAGUUCAGGCACUUUGGCUUUUGUAGAUUCUCAGUUUGCAUUGCUAAUAGCCUCCAUGUCUUAAAGCAGCAGCAGAGACCAAAGUGUUCAAGCCAUCACAAAAGCAAAGACCAACAGUGUGCACGCCUCCCUGAUUUUCAGGUUCCGAUCUCUGUUCCCUAAUUUCAUUAUCUCACAUUACCCCCAGGGUUGGAUUUCUGUCCUCACUUGUUUUACAUACAUAGCUAGGUGAAUUAAGAUAUUACUCAUAUUAGGAGCUUAGAUAAUAACUCCAGGGAAAGAGCUUGCAUUUGAUAGCCUUCAAUUUCAAGAUUACAACUUUGAUCUUACACAAGGGAAAAUCAACACACUUUUAGAUCUUACAUUUUGUUAUUCAAACCCACAAGGCUAAUUGUUCAAAACAUGAAAGAAAGACAAGAUUACAGUGUGUAGAAACUAUAUGACUUGCCAGAAAUGGAAGAUCAUUUUGGCAAUUCGGCUUCACUAGUUGUAGGGACCUUCUCAUAUGAACCCAGCUCUCUCAACUUCUUAGGAAGAAAGCAACGACCCCCGAACUUCUGUUGCAAGAAGAUUAUCACAGCAAACAGUAGGCAUCCAAUAGGAAUGGUGACAUCCCAAGAAGUAGAGUAGAAGUCUGCGACAGGACUUGCAUAAAUGUAUGGGAUACCAUGUUCGUGAUGAACAGAGUUGUCAGUCCUGUAAAGGUCAUAAGCAUGUGGCAGAACUCGAACCGAGGUUGUCCCAAUGUAGAACCAAACAGAUAGAGCUCUUUCCUUUGAUUUGCAGACCAUGUUGAGAAGAAUUUGAGCAAACAGAAAACCAUCCAAGACCAAACCAGCAUAGGAUUUCAAGGUACCCAAAAUGGUAUGUACAUGAUUGCUAGAUUUCAUUAGAAGACCCAAAGUAACUAAAACCCCAAUGGCAUACACUGGUAAAGCCUUCUUUUCCGCAUCCCAAAGUUCAUUUUGCUUCCCAUUUGCUGAUCUUGCUGACCAACUCUGCUGCAGAAGACGGAAUUGCAGCAAGAAAGCUACCAUCGUUACUAACCUUACAAUUAUCUCAUUAACUUCAAGCCAUCCACCACUUCCCAGUAACACAUCUUGGCGGUUGGUGUUGUGAGUGAACAUGGCAUCAAAAUUUAGCAUAAGAGGUAUCAUGUAGCCAAGGGUCAGAAUUAAUAGCAUUAAGAUGGAAAUAGAGGGAAGCACAUCAGGAUGUUUUUUCACAUGGAAGAGUUGUACUGCGACAAAAACACAUGCGAGUGUUGUUGAUAUAAGAACCAAUGUGAUCUCCAUAUCCAUCCUCCAAAUGGAUCGUUCUGCUUCAAUCAGGUAAUCAGCAGCUGAAUUUAAAGCCAAUCGCUCGAAAUGAAGAGGAUCAGACUUUUUUCGUGUGCUUUCAAUGCUUACCUCAAUAUAACCUGUAUUGUUACUGUGUUGAUUUGUUGGAGGGAACUGAAAAUUGACAAGAAUCUCACAAUCUACAGAAUCUUUAGUGGUCUGUUGAUUACUGUUGAAGCCAACAUCUCGACAGCCUGUCAUGCACAGGCUUCCUUCUACAGCAUCAUAGAGCCCUUCUGCUGAAAUCUGCAUUUCCUUUGUUUGUAUUGUAUGGCCUGACUUUCCAGCAGAUUUCUCCAGCAGUUCGAUGUUUAUUCUGUAGCUAAUAUUGGUGGGGUUGCUACAGUUGUAGCUGUAUCUCAUCACAGGAAAGGAGCUCAAAGGAGCUAGAGAGUACCUUACAUCUCCAAUUGCAUUUGAAUAUUGUGUUGAAGAUAAAUACUGCUCAUAGAACUGAUUGCCAACAGAAAGAGGAUCAGAAUUUCCCCAUGCACCUUGUCCUUUAGAACUUUUUGCUGACAUAUCGAAUUUCAUGUCGUAAGAAAACGGACUUGGGUACAUGUUUCUCUUCUGAUCAUUAGCAGCAGACUUCUUUUUUGGGCACAACUUAGUUACCUGGUCUAUUUUAGUAUACACAUAUUUUGGCCCUGGAACUAGAACCCUUCCCGCCUCACUCUGACGAGUUUGAAAUGUGAUCUUGUCAAAGUAACCUGACUCAGUCUUGGAUUUGCUGCUCCAAAUAUGCCCCACGACACUACUAGUGUCUCCGAUUGUCCAUAUUGCAGGAAAUCUCAUGCUCAAUCUAGUUGAACAGUCAUCCACAUGAGAAUUGUUGAAAGAAUCUGUUACAGCCUGGAAGAAUUUACAAGCAGCAAAUUGUAUUCGACUUUUUUGUGCAUCCCAUGAGCCUUCCGCGAUGAAACUUGUAUUGGGGUUGAAAGGCCUCUGAUACCAGUUGUUGCUACUGUCUGAAAAUUCCACCAGUACUCUCAACCUUCUAGUAUACUCUGUACACUCGAUAUCCUUGAACGACAGCAGACGGGGCAAAUGAUCAGAUACGCCAAGUGGAGUGCAGUUCUUUGCAGAAACGCACUGGCUUGAAUAUUUGAGAUCAAAUUCAUACUUUAGUACUACUGUUGAGAGUUGUGAACAAAAUCUCUCCAAGUGCAAAGAACUAGGGGGAUCAUGAUCAUCAAUUCCAACAGAAGAGCUGUUAUCAUUAGAGUUAUUUGAAACCCAAGUAUACUGGUAGUUCAUCUGAGGAAGCAACAAAAUAGAAAUUGGAUCAAAAUAUUUUGCAUCCUUGAUCAUAUCAGAACCGCUGAUCAAACUCUCUAAUGUUCCAGUAAUCAAACUUGUAAUAUUAGUGGAAUUCAUGACAUUAUAGAGCUUAAGAACAGCAGGAUAAUGAAGCAUAGUUUUCCAGUAAGUGUGACCAUAACCAACCAUACAAAGCUUCCCAGAAGAUUCUGACCAGAACCCGUUGAGUCUAAAGCUAACUGACCUUUGAUAUGCUGGAUUUGAUCGAGUCCUGUAGCCUGGAUAAGGCUGGCUGCUGCUGGAGUUUCCUACAUAGUAUAACAUACUCGCCUUUUCCACAUGAAGAGUUGCUCCUAACUUGAACAAGCCUUCCACAUCAGUUGCUUCAAAAUUCCAUUUGCUGAAUUCAAUUGAAUUACGAACUUGUUGAUGGUAAAACGAUGAGUUGCCAUUAGGACUAUUGGCAGUGUCACCAGCAGUGUAGUAGUAACCUGUAUGGCUGAAGGCAAAGGGAUGAAGUCCUCGAUAUAUUUUUGAGUUUGCUUCAGGAACAACUGAAGCACAGUGAUCCGCAUAAGCGAGUUCAUCGUGUGAAACAGAGGAUGAGAUUAAAUUCAAUGAUAGGGAGGUGAAAGCAAAGAAGAUCAUGACAACUUGACAAGCUUUGGCUUUCUGAGGAUAGUCAUAGCUUCUCUGUUAGUAUUUAUGUUUUGGGAGAACGGGAGAAGAAGAACAAUAGGCAAUGCAGUUUUGAAAGGUUGUGAUGGUUCUUAUGUACUAAAGACAGUCUGAAGUACCAGGUCAACCUUCAUCCACUACUACCUAGUAUUACCACAGUCCAGAAGUUAUUACUGAUAGUUUAGAUGAAACCAAUAGACCUAUUUUUUACUUUCCCCAAGUUAAUUUCAUAACAAAAAAUUAAUCAUUUUUCAAGUCUAGUGUAAAAAACAUUUACCCCAACACAGUGAGUACAUUAACCUUUACCAAGAAGGGCUGUUGGGGACGCAGUCGGGACUGCCAUUCCUAUUUUGUUACUCACCAAGAUAAGUGUGAUUAGGGUAUAUGGAUUCCAUAAGACUCAAAGAUGAUAGCUUACACAGUAAUGAUAUUUUGUCAUAUCUUGGCCCUUGUAUUGGUUUGAACUUUAAAGAUUCCAAAGUUAUCAUAGGAUUUGUAUCAUCUGGUCAGCUGGUCUUAUCCCAAGUCAUCAUAACUUGGAAAAUGUUGGCAUGACAAUACAUCGCUAGUAGCUUUCAUUUGGACCAACUUAGGGUCAGUAGUCUAGAUUGAAAUUCUGAUAUUAUUUGUUCAAGCUUAUAAUAUGUUCAGUAGCAUAACUUCUUAUCAUCCUUUUCUUUUGUCUUAGCAUACAGAAUAAAAGUUGUUUUCCUUGCAAAUUUUCUUGUUUCUGUGAAGUAAACAGAGUGCAUAUGUUAAAAGGUAGAGUCCAAUGGCAGUUCUGACUUCUGAGCAAAGAGUAUGAAAGAAAAACAAAAUGACUAGACUUUGACUGACUCUAGUCCAAUUGGAUGAGCAGAGCAUAGAGGUUGUUGAUAUUUUCCUUCUUGUCGAUCAAUCCCAUAAACUUGUUCUGAGAAGUUUCCUUGUUUUUGGGUCCAUAACAAAGUACAUAUACCAUUGGUAACUCCGGUGCUUUAAUUAUUUCAAUGCCUCUAAAUGUAACUACAAAACAUCACCAAAGUAUUAUGCUGAAUUUGAUGCCAUAUGUAUAUAGUAAUAACCCAUGUCCAUAUUGGUAUUGGUAUUGCUGUCUCCAUCUUAGUACUAUCUUUCUCAGGAAGCUCAGCCCUGAAUGAGUUUAAAGUUGUUAUAUCAUUGCUCAUAUAUUAAUGUUUCCUAAAGCUCAACGACUACAAAAAGAAAAGAAAAGAAAGUAUACACGAAAUGGAAAAACGCAUGCUGAAUAAGAUGAACUGAUGGAUUUAUAUCCUGUUUCAUUAUCGUAUUAGUUCCUUAGUUAUGUAACUUGUAUUUUUGCAUUGCUUUUUGUUCUUGCUUUUAUUUUAUUUGAUGUAUCUUUAAAUCUUCCAGUACGGAUAUAUCCACACACAAAGACACUAACAUGAUCGCCAGUAAGCAAAACUAGCAUCUCAUAAUCUUAAUUUGUUCAACCACCUUGUGUUUGAAUUAUUCUGUUUCAUUCUAUGCUGCAGCUAUUCAAGUCCUUCAUGGUCACCAUUGCAUCUCAUUUCUUCCUGAAUCACCUUGUUCCAAUGGCAGACAAAUAAUACUACACUGGUGGUGACAGGGGCAUUGCUGAGCUCUGAUCUGCCUUUCCAGAUAAAUCAAAUUUCCAGGUACUUUUUCGAGUUUGCUUGCCUCUUUGACAGUAUACAUUAAAUAACUGGCAUAUGGAUUUUUGCUCUUCACUUUGUAUGUAUUUAUUUGCUUUAUAGCUAAGUGCAUCAAGUUUAGAAUAAAACUUGAGUAUUCAAUCAACUAAGCGCCUUCCUAAUUAGUCUUACGUUGCCACCUAAUAGUUUCAACUGACUUUGUUGCGUGAGGAUAGUUUGAUAUCAUAAACUUUUGAAAUUAGAAGGUUUCUAUUAUACGAGAUAAAAGUGGAAGUGCAUACAUUAAAGCGGAUAAAACUAAAAGGCUUAAAUCUUACAUUCUUCUUUUUCUUCAAUAUACCAAAAGCCUAGGCAUUUUAAAUAGGAAAGGAAACAAAGGGGUCCAGAUAUGAAGUCUGUCCAAUUCUGUCAUUGACUAUGAUUGAGCUUCCACUGACCAUGAAUACCAGAAAUGGAGUGCUACACUAGAAUACUAGAUUACCUUGGCAACUCAUCUUCGCUAACUGAAGGGACUUCCUCAUACAAACCCUGCUCUCUCAACUUUUUAGGAAGAAAGCAGCGACCCCCAAACUUCUGCUGCAAGAAAAUGAUCAGAGAAAACAGUAGACCUCCAAUAGGAAUAAUUACAUCCCAAGAAGUAGAGUAGAAAUCUGC
rnacentral:lncRNA from 1 species